AUUGAACGCUGGCGGCAGGCCUAACACAUGCAAGUCGAGCGGAGCGGCGGACGGGUGAGUAAUGCCUAGGAAUCUGCCUGGUAGUGGGUGAUAACGUCCGGUACCGUUCGCUAAUACCGCAUCCACUCAGCUCAGCCUCGGUCGGUUUAGCUAGUUGGUGGUGUAAAGGCCUAGCAAGGCGACCAUCAGUACCUGGUCUGAGAGGAUGAGCAGGCACACUGGAAAUGAGACACGGUCCAGACUCCUACGGGAGGCAGCAGUGGGGAAUAGUGGACAAUGGGCGAAAGCCUGAUCCAGCCAUGCCGCGGGUGUGAAGAAGGGCUUCGGAUUGUAAAGCACUUUAAGUUGGGAGGCGUUACCAACAGAAUAAGCACCGGCUAACUUCGUGCCAGCAGCCGCGGUAAUAC
rnacentral:rRNA from 1 species